UACAGAGGGUGCGAGCGUUAAUCGGAAUUACUGGGCGUAAAGCGCACGUAGGUGGCGACGUAAGUCGGGUGUGAAAGCCCCGGGCUCAACCUGGGAAUUGCAUUCGAGACUGCAUUGCUGGAGUACGGAAGAGGAAGGCGGAAUUCCCGGUGUAGCGGUGAAAUGCGUAGAUAUCAGGAAGAACACCCGUGGCGAAAGCGGCUCUCUGGGACGGUACUGACGCUGAGACGCGAAAGCGUGGGGGAGCGAACAGG
rnacentral:rRNA from 1 species